rnacentral:sRNA from 1 species
CUGGCAGUCCUGGAGGCUCUGAAGUCCCGUGUCUAGCGUCAGUACAGUAUCAUGGGCAACAGCAGUCUACUUUCCCUUCAUACCAGCCCACCAGUAUGUCUAAUCCUGACUUGGAGAGACCACUUCUUGGGGUAGUUCAGUCUCCGUGCCCAUUCAGUCCAACAGUGGU